rfam:Fusarium verticillioides 7600 chromosome 8, whole genome shotgun sequence.
UCCGGUAUGGUGUAGUGGCUAACAUUUCGCGCUCUCAUCUUCUAAGCUGAGGGAUCAGUACCGCGGAGCCCAGGGUUCGAUUCCCUGUACCGGAG